UAAAAAGCUCGUAGUUGGAUCUGUGUAUCGGACGGUCGGUUCGCCGCUCGCGGUGUUUGACUGACCGGUUCGGACGUCAUGCCGGUGGGACCUCGGCGCAAGUCGGGGUUCCGUAACUUACCCUCCGCGCUGCUCUUCAUUGAGUGGUUCGGUGGGCCGGCACGUUUACUUUGAACAAAUUUGAGUGCUCAAAGCAGGCCUUAUGUUGCCUGGAAACUGUGUGCAUGGAAUAAUGAAAGAGGACCUUGGUUCUAUUUUGUUGGCUUUCUGAACUCGAGGUAAUGAUUAACAGGGACAGACGGGGGCAUUCGUAUUGCGACGUUAGAGGUGAAAUUCUUGGAUCGUCGCAAGACGGACCGAUGCGAAAGCGUUUGCCAAGAAUGUUUUCGCUAAUCAAGAACGAAAGUUAGAGGUUCGAAGGCGAUUAGAUACCGCCCUAGUUCUAACCAUAAACGAUGUCAGCCAGCGAUGCGCCGAUGUUCCUCCGAUGACACGGCGCGCAACUUCCGGGAAACCAAAGCUUUUGGGUUCCGGGG
rnacentral:rRNA from 13 species